rnacentral:hammerhead_ribozyme from 31 species
CAACUAGCGAUGUGUGUCGCUACUGAUGAGUCCAAAAGGACGAAUUG